rnacentral:lncRNA from 1 species
UGGUGAUGUAAUAUUAGGAGCCAGGGUCUUUGGGAAGUGAUAAUGAUUUAGAUGAUGUCAUGAGGGUGGAGGCCCACGAAUGGGCUUAGGCUCUUUAUAAGAUUCCUCCAGAGAGUUUCUUCCUCCAUCGACAAUGUGAAGAUAUAAUGAAGACUGUGAAACAGGAAGCCAGCCCUCACCUGACAGCAAGCCUGCCAUGCCUUGAUCUCACGGUUCCCAGCCUUUCAAAAUGAAGACCACAAGUGGAGCAUCGUUUACCCGGGUUAACAGAAAACAGCAAGGAUAACACAGUGUCACGUCUGCCAACACUGUCCAUCUUGAAGUCUCUCUUUGGGUACCAGACACUUUUGUAUAUAACUUAAAGAAGCAAGGCAAGUGAAUUAAACAAUGCCACUGAAUAUGAAGGAAAAUGAGGCGUUCCAAGGAAGCUGCUUACGUCUCUCACGCAAGGAUAACUUAAUUUCAGGCACAGGACAAUAGGCAGGAAAUAGAAAUGGGUUCAAAUGUCCCCACCUCUAGGCUGCUACCUCAAGCGUUUCUUACAUCAUGUCAAAGACAGUACCGUCUCUACC